GAUGAACGCUGGCGGCGUGCCUAAUACAUGCAAGUCGAGCGAAUGGAUUAAGAGCUUGCUCUUAUGAAGUUAGCGGCGGACGGGUGAGUAACACGUGGGUAACCUGCCCAUAAGACUGGGAUAACUCCGGGAAACCGGGGCUAAUACCGGAUAACAUUUUGAACCGCAUGGUUCGAAAUUGAAAGGCGGCUUCGGCUGUCACUUAUGGAUGGACCCGCGUCGCAUUAGCUAGUUGGUGAGGUACCGGCUCACCAAGGCAACGAUGCGUGGCCGACCUGAGAGGGUGAUCGGCCACACUGGGACUGAGACACGGCCCAGACUCCUACGGGAGGCAGCAGUAGGGAAUCUGCCGCAAUUGACGAAAGUCUGACGGAGCAACGCCGCGUGAGUGAUGAAGGCUUUCGGGUCGUAAAACUCUGUUGUUAGGGAAGAACAAGUGCUAGUUGAAUAAGCUGGCACCUUGACGGUACCUAACCAGAAAGCCACGGCUAACUACGUGCCAGCAGCCGCAGUAA
rnacentral:rRNA from 1 species